UACAGAGGGUGCGAGCGUUAAUCGGAAUUACUGGGCGUAAAGCGUGCGUAGACGGUUAUUUAAGUCGGGUGUGAAAGCCCCGGGCUCAACCUGGGAAUUGCAUUCGAGACUGAAUAGCUAGGGUACGGUAGAGGGAAGUGGAAUUUCCGGUGUAGCGGUGAAAUGCGUAGAUAUCGGAAGGAACAUCAGUGGCGAAGGCGACUCACUGGACACAUAUUGACGCUGAGGUGCGAAAGCGUGGGGAGCAAACAGG
rnacentral:rRNA from 1 species